rnacentral:rRNA from 1 species
AUUGAACGCUGGCGGUAGGCCUAACACAUGCAAGUCGAGCGGAAGAACGGGGCUUGCUCCUGGAUUCAGCGUCGGACGGGUGAGUAAUGCAUAGGAAUCUGCGUGGUGGUGGGGGGUAACGUCCGAAAGCGGGCGCUGAUACCGCAUACGUCCUGAGGGAGAAAGAGGGGGUUCUUCGGACCUCAUGCUAUCAGGUGAGCCUAGGUCGGAUUAGCUAGUUGGUGGGGUAAAGGCCUACCAAGGCGACGAUCCGUAUCUGGUCUGAGAGGAUGAUAAGUCACACUGGAACUGAGACACGGUCCAGGCUACUACGGGAGGCAGCAGUGGGGAAUAUUGGACAAUGGGCGAAAGCCUUACCCAGCCCGGCCGUGUGUGUGAAGAAGAUCUUCGGUUCGUAAAGCCCCUUUAGUAGGUAGAAAAGGCAGUAAGCUCACAACGUCAUAUUAUGACGGUACCCACAGAAUAAGCACCGGCUAACUACGUG